rnacentral:tRNA from 1 species
UCCCUUGUAGCUCAGUUGGUAAAGAAUCUGACUACAAUGCAGGAAACCCAGGUUCAAUACCUGGAUCGGGAA